AUACUUUUUAAUUUACAGUUGUAACCGACGGGUUUCUGCGUUGUGUCUUGUCUUCGUUGAGUGAGGCACAAACAGGAGUCGAGUUAUGGCGGUUUAUUUCUUUUAACCCAUUAGUACCGGAUGCUGCACGGCGCAACAUUGCAUCUACCGCCGAUUGCUGCGUAGCGCAGCUUUGAAUCUCCUGCCGGCUGCUGCAUUGUUGAUUUGUCGUCAUUUUCAUGACAAAUGCAGCAUAUAAUGCAUUGACAUUGGUUCAAAUACACAAGGUGGGUCUUGUUGUUUUCUUAAAACCACGUGACCAGCAAAACGUUGUUGUUGGCCGACAAUCACGUCAAUCAAUCAGACAAACACGGGCAAUGUUGAACUUUUUUCCCCUGCAAAAAUGGCUGUGAUCGACGAGUACUGUGACAGCGGCGGCAGCGAUUUGGAGUUGGGAGAGAGUGAGGAGUUUGAGAGGGAGGUGGCGGUAGAAGGGUUUGUACCUGAUGAUCCUUUGGAUCAAGCCCAGGAGUGGUAUUUGUGGGUUGAAGGAGAGGAGGAGGAGGACGACAACGACUUUGCUGAAUUUCAGGUGGACUGGAAGACGGAUGGAUACUUGCCCCGAAAUCCCAAGCAGUUCACUCGCAAAUCGGGACUGAAGCAGCCGAUUGCCGUGGUUGAAACCCCCCUGGACGUAUUUUCAAAGAUAUUCACUGAUGAACUUUGAGACAUGUUGGUGACCCAAACAAAUGUUUAUGCUGAUCGGACGCGCGGCCAGACCCCAUCAAACUCGAAGUGGAACCCCAUCUCCAAAACCGAGAUGAAAACGUUUGUCGGGCUCUGCCUCACUUUUGGUAUCCUGAAACUGCCUGCACGCCGGGAUUAUUGGAGGCAAACAAAGUGGCUGUACCAGACACACGUCCCCAAGGCCAUGGCACGAUAUCUCCAUCUCCAAGACAACAUGGACCCUGCUGUGGACAAGUCUGACAAGCUCUGGAAGCUCAAGGGAUUCAUGGACCUUCUCCUUGUCAGAUUCCAGGAUCUCUACGAGGUCAAUGGCUUUGUGACCAUGGAUGAGUCCAUGGUCAAGUCCAAGGGACGCCUGGCCUUCCGGCAGUACCUCCCCAUGAAGCCGGUGAAGUGGGGAGUAAAGGUGUGGGUGAUGGCGGAGAGCAAGACAGGCUAUGGCAACAAUUUCCAGGUGUACACGAGGGCCCUUCAGGGUAAGGCUGAGAAAGACCUGGCUCACCGCAUUGUCGUAGACCUGGCCAAUGGAUAACUUUUACCCUGGUGUACCAUUGAUGGUGGACCUCAAGAUCAGGGGGGUUACAAGCUUUUGGGACGGUGUAUGCUAAUAGGAAGGGCUUCCCCAAAAUCAAGGACCUAACAAAGCAGGCUGGCAUGAACAGGCACGAAUACAAGGUGGCGCAGCAGGAUGACCUGACCUUUUGUAUAUGGCAGGACACCAAGGCAGUGAUGGUCCUGUCAAACUUCCAUGACGCGACAGCUUUUGGGUCAGUGAGGAGGAAGGCGAAUGGUCGUGCAGCUGAUCGUGCCCGUCACCAAAAGAAGUGCUCCCCACCAGCCCAACUGGAGCUUCUGCUGAGCAUGAUCUGGUCCAGAUAAACCAGAAGAAAACCUGCAGGGAGUGUUCUCUGAAGCGCAACGGCACCGACGUGUGUCCUAGGUCCACACUUAUGGGGUGCAGGCAGUAUGACCUUCCUCGGCACCGCGAGUGCUUCGUGCACCACGUCCUUCGCCACGCGAGUUGAUGCACCACGUCCUUCACCAAGACUGAUUUGUUGUGUGUGUGUGUCCUUUCCCCACCCUCCCCACUCCUUUCCCACCUCUCUCUCAUACCAAGGUGCCUUGGUCUGUGUUGGCAUGUUUUAAA
ensembl:lncRNA